UCAAUUAGUGUCCUUUAAAAACUCCUCGAUUGCGUCUUUGCCUUUAAAUAGAGGGUUUACGGAGAAAGGAGAGAGGCUGUGGAGAGGAGGAUUUCGACCGAAGACGUCUGAAUAAAUGUUUCUGUUACUUGUCCAGAUUUCUCCGCCGUGUUUUGAAGACAAGCUGGGUUAAGCGCAGUUGAGUCUCUCCAUCCCCCCCCUGAGCGGUUGAAGCACCUGGACGCCGACCUGCGGUGUGGCGAGUGACUGGGAACAGACCUGCGGGGAAUCCGAAGAGAGGUGAAUACUGCCAGGCUGGAGAUGAGAAGGGGGUUCAGCGUGGAGUGCGCUCUGUCCCGGCGGCAGGAGAGGAGACCGGGAGUCCUGGAAAAAUAAAGACAGAGGCUCCAGUCUCUGGGCUUUAAAAGGCGGCUGUAGGAAAUUCCACGGCUUGGGGGACCGGAGCGGAGACCGACCCGUGUGCCGAGGGCUGCAAACCACUCUCACGGGAACGUCGGCAUUUUAUUGCUACGGUGAGAAUAGGCUUGGACACGACAUCCUAAUUCUAACCGACCCCUCUGUCCAAGUCUUGAUUUUGGAGCGGUGUGGGACUGUGACGCUGCGGGACCGGAGCGGCUGGAUUGCGUUUCUUCAGGACGCCGAGCAAGACGCUUCUUCUACCUGGAGAGCAGCGAUAUACCAACGGGACACCGGCCUCACCUCCUUUUUCCUCUUUCCGGGACCCCAGUCUGCACGGGCUUUUUUUGGGGGGUGGUCUGAACCGCCCCCAUUUAUAACCUGAAUCCUGGCGAGCGAAAAGGAGGAAAAAAGGUAUCUGAGAAAUGUGAACCACGUGACACUUUAUCAACGUACCAACGUUUCUGUAAUUUCUUUUAUAACCUCGUAUGUUGUAAUAAAUGAGUGAAUGUAAACCGUGA